rnacentral:lncRNA from 1 species
AGAAAGGGAAUAAACCCGCCUUUUACAGCAAUUAUUAAUCAGAAGAGAUUGGGCAGUCUGCACGACCUGGUGAGCCCAGGGUGCAGGAGGAUAUUUAACAGGAAUCCCCUGCAGGAAAAGCGGCUGAAUAAAGGAUCUGCCCCGUCAGCGACGCAAAGCUGCUGUUCAGCAGAGCCCAGCACCCGGGAGAAUUUGCUCUGGGGAAAGAGAGAACCGACUGCUGGAAAGGCCACGGAGGCCCCUGAAACCCUGGAGACUCCAGCAGCAGUGGGAGCACCAGGCAAAGCACGGGGAUGUGCCAGCGCCCACUGGGAAACACCGGCUGCAGCCCCCCCGGCUCCAGCUCCGGCCUCAGCGCUGUCUCCAGGCAGCUCCGCAGCGGCCCCCGGCAUUGCCUGCCCCGGACCCCAGACCCUUCCCGGCCCCGGCUCCCGUAUCUCCAGCCUCUGGCUCGACACGCAGAAAAGGGCAUUGUGCCUUGCCGAUUUGAGGUGUUUCCUGCCCUUUAUUCCUUCCCAGACACCUGUAACAGCAAACCAGCUCAGGGGUCCCAAGCCCUCGUGGGGGGCCACGCAACCCAGAAGGUUUUUUUUAUUUUCCUCAGAUAAGAUGCAAGCACUGGCAAAGCAGCAAACUACAUUAAAUGUUAAUUCUACUGUUUUUCACAGUGUUGCUUUUUGGUUUAACCUCUUACUAAACAGCGCUGCCUUCCCCCUUUCCACAGCGAGCCUGACGGUUUCUCACUUUCAGCCCAACGGCAACACCGACAGAGACCGCUGCCUGCUGGCCCCCGCAGCAAUCCCCUUGCAGUGCCCCCUGCGCCGUCAGCAGCGCCCUGCAUUGAGAGGUGAACUCAUUCUCACCGGUGAUAAGGACCCUGGGGGAAAAAGCCCCCGCAGCAGCAGCAGCAGCAGCAGCAGCAGCAGCAGCAGCAGCAGGGCAGCGCUGCCCCGCGAAGCCAGGAGCCCACGGCAGGCCCGGGCUGGGGGCAGCUGCUCCCGCGCCCCCAGGGCUGCCCGAGGCCGCGCUCGCAGCGACCAGGGCGAGCGGAGUCCUCACUACCGGCUUAGCGUAUCACGGUCUCACAGCUCGCAAUCAGGGGAGAGACCGCUGGGACGCUGCAGGAAACACCGGGCUGGGGACCUACCAGAGCAUCGUUGCUGUAACGCUCCUCAGAGAAGAGAGAGAGGAUGCGUGGGCUUAUUAACAUGA